rnacentral:rRNA from 1 species
CCAGCAGCCGCGGUAAUUCCAGCUCCAAUAGCGUAUAUUAAAGUUGUUGCAGUUAAAAAGCUCGUAGUUGGAUUUGUGGAUUCUGCCGGGGUCCAAUUUGGUACCUUGGCGGCGUCCAUCCUUGGGUGGAUCCUGUGUGGCAUUAAGUUGUCGUGCAGGGGAUGCUCAUCGUUUACUGUGAAAAAAUUAGCGCGUUCAAAGCAAGCUUAUGCUGUUGAAUAUAUUAGCAUGGAAUAAUGAGAUAGGACCUUGGUACUAUUUUGUUGGUUUGCGCACCGAGGUAAUGAUUAAUAGGGACAGUUGGGGGUAUUCGUAUUCCAUUGUCAGAGGUGAAAUUCUUGGAU